rnacentral:rRNA from 1 species
GCGAAAACUUUACAAUGCUGGCAACAGCGAUAAGGGAGCCUCGAGUGCCAGGUUACAAUCUGGCUGUCGAGAUGCCUAAAAAGCAUUUCAUAGCAAGGGCCGGGCAAGACCGGUGCCAGCCGCCGCGGUAACACCGGCGGCUCGAGUGGUAACCGUUAUUAUUGGGUCUAAAGGGUCUGUAGCCGGCCGGAUAAGUCUCUUGAGAAAUCUGGCAGCUUAACUGUCAGGCUCUCAGGAGAUACGGUCUGGCUCGAGGCCGGGAGAGGUGAGAGGUACUGCAGGGGUAGGGGUGAAAUCUUGUAAUCCUUGAAGGACCACCAGUGGCGAAGGCGUCUCACCAGAACGGACCUGACGGCAAGGGACGAAAGCGAGGGGCACGAACC